UACGGGGGGGGCAAGCGUUGUUCGGAAUCACUGGGCGUAAAGCGCACGUAGGCGGAUUGUUAAGUCGGGGGUGAAAUCCUGGAGCUCAACUCCAGAACUGCCUUCGAUACUGACGAUCUCGAGUCCGGGAGAGGUGAGUGGAACUCCGAGUGUAGAGGUGAAAUUCGUAGAUAUUCGGAAGAACACCAGUGGCGAAGGCGGCUCACUGGCCCGGUACUGACGCUGAGGUGCGAAAGCGUGGGGAGCAAACAGG
rnacentral:rRNA from 1 species